UGCCAGCAGCCGCGGUAAUACGGAGGGGGUUAGCGUUGUUCGGAAUCACUGGGCAUAAAGGGCUCGUAGGCGGCAAUCUAAGUCAGCUGUGAAAGACCCCGGCUUAACCGGGGGAACGCAACUGAUACUGGGUAGCUAGAGCAUGGCAGGGGGAAGUGGAAUUCCAGGUGGAGCGGUGAAAUGCGUAGAUAUCUGGAGGAACACCAGUGGCGAAAGCGACUUCCUGGGCCAUUGCUGACGCUGAGGGGCGAAAGCUAGGGGAGCGAACGGGAUUAGAUA
rnacentral:rRNA from 1 species